rnacentral:piRNA from 1 species
UGAAUGAGCAGACUGUUUCCAUAACC